rnacentral:rRNA from 1 species
GUUAAGCGACUAAGCGUACACGGUGGAUGCCCUGGCAGUCAGAGGCGAUGAAGGACGUGCUAAUCUGCGAAAAGCGUCGGUAAGGUGAUAUGAACCGUUACAGCCGGCGAUGUCCGAAUGGGGAAACCCAGUGUGAUUCGUCACACUAUCGUUAACUGAAUACAUAGGUUAACGAGGCGAACCGGGGGAACUGAAACAUCUAAGUACCCCGAGGAAAAGAAAUCAACCGAGAUUCCCCCAGUAGCGGCGAGCGAACGGGGAGCAGCCCAGAGUCUGAAUCAGCUUGUGUGUUAGUGGAACGGUCUGGAAAGUCCGACGGUACAGGGUGAUAGUCCCGUACACCAAAAUGCACAGGCUGUGAACUCGAAGAGUAGGGCGGGACACGUGGUAUCCUGUCUGAAUAUGGGGGGACCAUCCUCCAAGGCUAAAUACUCCUGACUGACCGAUAGUGAACCAGUACCGUGAGGGAAAGGCGAAAAGAACCCCGGCGAGGGGAGUGAAAAAGAACCUGAAACCGUGUACGUACAAGCAGUGGGAGCACCUUCGGGUGUGACUGCGUACCUUUUGUAUAAUGGGUCAGCGACUUAUAUUCUGUAGCAAGGUUAACCGUAUAGGGGAGCCGCAGGGAAACCGAGUCUUAACUGGGCGUUAAGUUGCAGGGUAUAGACCCGAAACCCGGUGAUCUAGCCAUGGGCAGGUUGAAGGUUGGGUAACACUAACUGGAGGACCGAACCGACUAAUGUUGAAAAAUUAGCGGAUGACUUGUGGCUGGGGGUGAAAGGCCAAUCAAACCGGGAGAUAGCUGGUUCUCCCCGAAAGCUAUUUAGGUAGCGCCUCGUGAACUCAUCUUCGGGGGUAGAGCACUGUUUCGGCUAGGGGGUCAUCCCGACUUACCAACCCGAUGCAAACUACGAAUACCGAAGAAUGUUAUCACGGGAGACACACGGCGGGUGCUAACGUCCGUCGUGAAGAGGGAAACAACCCAGACCGCCAGCUAAGGUCCCAAAGUCACAGUUAAGUGGGAAACGAUGUGGGAAGGCACAGACAGCCAGGAUGUUGGCUUAGAAGCAGCCAUCAUUUAAAGAAAGCGUAAUAGCUCACUGGUCGAGUCGGCCUGCGCGGAAGAUGUAACGGGGCUAAACUGUGCACCGAAGCUGCGGCAGCGACACUUAGGUGUUGUUGGGUAGGGGAGCGUUCUGUAAGCCUGCGAAGGUGGCCUGUGAGGGUUGCUGGAGGUAUCAGAAGUGCGAAUGCUGACAUAAGUAACGAUAAUGCGGGUGAAAAGCCCGCACGCCGGAAGACCAAGGGUUCCUGUCCAACGUUAAUCGGGGCAGGGUGAGUCGACCCCUAAGGCGAGGCCGAAAGGCGUAGUCGAUGGGAAACAGGUUAAUAUUCCUGUACUUGGUGUUACUGCGAAGGGGGGACGGAGAAGGCUAUGUUAGCCGGGCGACGGUUGUCCCGGUUUAAGCAUGUAGGCGGAGGUUCCAGGUAAAUCCGGUACCUUUUUAACGCUGAGGUGUGAUGACGAGGCACUACGGUGCUGAAGUAACAAAUGCCCUGCUUCCAGGAAAAGCCUCUAAGCAUCAGGUAACAUUGAAUCGUACCCCAAACCGACACAGGUGGUCAGGUAGAGAAUACCAAGGCGCUUGAGAGAACUCGGGUGAAGGAACUAGGCAAAAUGGUGCCGUAACUUCGGGAGAAGGCACGCUGAUAUGUAGGUGAAGCCCCUGCGGGUGGAGCUGAAAUCAGUCGAAGAUACCAGCUGGCUGCAACUGUUUAUUAAAAACACAGCACUGUGCAAACACGAAAGUGGACGUAUACGGUGUGACGCCUGCCCGGUGCCGGAAGGUUAAUUGAUGGGGUUAUCCGUAAGGAGAAGCUCUUGAUCGAAGCCCCGGUAAACGGCGGCCGUAACUAUAACGGUCCUAAGGUAGCGAAAUUCCUUGUCGGGUAAGUUCCGACCUGCACGAAUGGCGUAAUGAUGGCCAGGCUGUCUCCACCCGAGACUCAGUGAAAUUGAACUCGCUGUGAAGAUGCAGUGUACCCGCGGCAAGACGGAAAGACCCCGUGAACCUUUACUAUAGCUUGACACUGAACAUUGAGCCUUGAUGUGUAGGAUAGGUGGGAGGCUUUGAAGCGUGGACGCCAGUCUGCGUGGAGCCAACCUUGAAAUACCACCCUUUAAUGUUUGAUGUUCUAACGUUGGCCCCUAAUCGGGGUUGCGGACAGUGUCUGGUGGGUAGUUUGACUGGGGCGGUCUCCUCCCAAAGAGUAACGGAGGAGCACGAAGGUUAGCUAAUCCUGGUCGGACAUCAGGAGGUUAGUGCAAUGGCAUAAGCUAGCUUGACUGCGAGCGUGACGGCGCGAGCAGGUGCGAAAGCAGGUCAUAGUGAUCCGGUGGUUCUGAAUGGAAGGGCCAUCGCUCAACGGAUAAAAGGUACUCCGGGGAUAACAGGCUGAUACCGCCCAAGAGUUCAUAUCGACGGCGGUGUUUGGCACCUCGAUGUCGGCUCAUCACAUCCUGGGGCUGAAGUAGGUCCCAAGGGUAUGGCUGUUCGCCAUUUAAAGUGGUACGCGAGCUGGGUUUAGAACGUCGUGAGACAGUUCGGUCCCUAUCUGCCGUGGGCGCUGGAGAAUUGAGGGGGGCUGCUCCUAGUACGAGAGGACCGGAGUGGACGCAUCACUGGUGUUCGGGUUGUCAUGCCAAUGGCAUUGCCCGGUAGCUAAAUGCGGAAGAGAUAAGUGCUGAAAGCAUCUAAGCACGAAACUUGCCCCGAGAUGAGUUCUCCCUGAGACUUUAAGUCUCCUGAAGGAACGUUAAAGACGAUGACGUUGAUAGGUCGGGUGUGUAAGCGUAGCGAUACGUUGAGCUAACCGAUACUAAUGAACCGUGAGGCUUAACC